GAUGAACGCUGGCGGCGUGCCUAAUACAUGCAAGUCGAGCGAACCACUUCGGUGGUGAGCGGCGAACGGGUGAGUAACACGUAGGUGAUCUGCCCAUCAGACGGGGACAACGAUUGGAAACGAUCGCUAAUACCGGAUAGGACGAAAGUUUAAAGGUGCUUCUGGCACCGCUGAUGGAUGAGCCUGCGGCGCAUUAGCUAGUUGGUAGGGUAAAGGCCUACCAAGGCGACGAUGCGUAGCCGACCUGAGAGGGUGAACGGCCACACUGGGACUGAGACACGGCCCAGACUCCUACGGGAGGCAGCAGUAGGGAAUCGUCGGCAAUGGGCGAAGGCCUGACCGAGCAACGCCGCGUGAAUGAUGAAGGCCUUCGGGUUGUAAAAUUCUGUUAUAAGGGAAGAACGACUUUAGUAGGAAAUGGCUAGAGUGUGACGGUACCUUAUGAGAAAGCCACGGCUAACUACGUGCCAGCCGCCGCGGUAA
rnacentral:rRNA from 1 species